rnacentral:lncRNA from 1 species
UUUUUGGAGAUUAAUCAAAAGAUCAAAGCAAAAGAGGUUUCUUCUGUCUAUUCUCAUCUUAAGUUCUUUGUUUGUUUAUUGUUUUCCUUUUAAUUUUAUUUUAUUUUUUAUACGAAAGUAAAAAUAAAAGUAAGAAGCUUACCCAUAUUUUCAUUACCGAAAAAGUUUUUUUUAUGAGGUCCGGCCGCCGUGUACGGUGGCACCGACGGCGGCCCGUGGGGGUCCGUGACCGGAGCAAAAUCGGACCAAUAGCCGGAUUUAGAAGGGAGGGAGAGAG